UCAGCCCGAAUUAGGUUUAAUUGGACAAUACUAUGAAUCGCUGGGUGGAUUGCAGCACCCAUGCAGAUUACCACAGCACGCUAGUACAGUACAGACACUACAAACAACAUAUAAUGCGAGAUUGCUUACUCCUCAAAAAUUUGUCGCAUUCAAUUAUGGAGAAGAUAAUUUGAACUCGUGGACGGCUGAGAAUGGCAGACUCCUCUCAAGUACUAUGAGCACUCAUCAGUGGCCAGGGAUCGAUGACAUCCGCCACAUGACAUCCUAUCAACACAGAAUAUAUUUUAUUGGUAGAAAAAAAGAGGAAUAUCAAAUAUUUGUGGUGGACUUCAGUGAAGAUGCGACCGCGGCUGUGAAAUCUAUAAAUACUACCUUCCUCAUCCACCUUGAAUACACAUACAUGGCUGCAUGUGGGAACACAUUGCUCGUGCAUGAAAGAGGAACAAAAGAACUUCAUGUCUUCCGUAAUGACACCUGGGUGUCCACUAUCACUCUAGACGACAACCUGCAGUGGCCGAAUGGGUGUUACCAGAUGGAAUUACGACACGGUCAGUUAUUUGUGGGUGACUAUAUGGAUGAUUAUGUAACUGGUUAUCGGUACAGUGACUCACCAUCUCCAUCUAUCUCGGGGCCUAUAUGGGGACCAGUAGAAGCAUCGAUGGGAAGAUUCGUGGUCAUGUCUGAUCAUCACAUUAUAACCAGAAAGAAGACUGAUAAAGCUACUCUCCUUCUGCACACUCUGUCAGAUGAGUCCUCAGAUGAGGACAAGAGUGGAGAAGGCAACAACAAGCAGACAGUAAUCAGCACACAUGAAAUCAACAGUGAUGUGAACCUGUGGCAUCCUCUCGCAGCUAUCUCCAACACUACUGUUGUGGCCAGAGUUGAGGCUGAUUCUGGAGAUGCCGAUGAAACGAAUGUUUUGCAACUUGGACCGUGAACAAACUUAUAACUAAAAUAAAUUCAUUCUAUACCAAAUGAUAAUGAAUUAUUUUACA